rnacentral:rRNA from 1 species
CGAGUCUUAACUGGGCGAAUGAGUUGCAGGGUAUAGACCCGAAACCCGGUGAUCUAUCCAUGGGCAGGUUGAAGGUUGGGUAACACUAACUGGAGGACCGAACCGACUAAUGUUGAAAAAUUAGCGGAUGACUUGUGGAUGGGGGUGAAAGGCCAAUCAAACCGGGAGAUAGCUGGUUCUCCCCGAAAGCUAUUUAGGUAGCGCCUCGUGAACUCAUCUUCGGGGGUAGAGCACUGUUUCGACUAGGGGGUCAUCCCGACUUACCAACUCGAUGCAAACUGCGAAUACCGAAGAAUGUUAUCACGGGAGACACACGGCGGGUGCUAACGUCCGUCGUGAAGAGGGAAACAACCCAGACCGCCAGCUAAGGUCCCAAAGUCAUGGUUAAGUGGGAAACGAAGUGGGAAGGCUCAGACAGCCAGGAUGUUGGCUUAGAAGCAGCCAUCAUUUAAAGAAAGCGUAAUAGCUCACUGGUCGAGUCGGCCCGCGCGGAAGAUGUAACGGGGCUAAACCAUGCACCGAAGCUGCGGCAGCGAACGUAUCACUUAAAUUUGUUUGAGUGAAUAACGAUUGACGGAACGAAGUGACGUCAAUGCGUUAAUGAAAGUCGAGGCGAAAGCACGACAAAGCGAAUUUAAGGAUACGUUCGUUGGGUAGGGGAGCGUUCUGUAAGC